UACAGAGGCCACGAGCGUUAGGCGGAAUCACUGGGCUUAAAGCGUGUGUAGGUGGAUCGGUAAGUACCUUGUGAAAUCCCACGACUCAAUCGUGGAACUGCUUGGUAUACUGCCAGUCUUGAGGCACUCAGGGGCAAGCGGAACAGAUGGUGGAGCGGUGAAAUGCGUAGAUAUCAUCUGGAACGCCAAUGGUGAAGACAGCUUGCUGGGGGUGUUCUGACACUGAGACACGAAAGCCAGGGGAGCAAACGGG
rnacentral:rRNA from 1 species